AACCCCAAAGGUCCAUGAUAUUAACUUCAUGGAUCCGGGUUGGUCGGAGGCCCAAACCCUAACCGAAAAUAAGUAAGAGAGAGAAGGGAGGAGGUGGCCUUGAAUUCUCCCAUGAUGACAUGCGCAGCACGCGGAUCAAUGGCCAUAAAGAAAAGAAAUUUGAUAAAUUCACAGGGGAAGUGUGUAGCUGUUAUUGGGAAUAUGAAGGGAUAGCUGUCAUCAAAUUAACUUUUAAUUAAUGUAAUUAAAAUCCCACUUUAACAGUCAAACAACCGGAUUGCACACCCACCCCUCUAUCCUCUUUGUUCGUUCUUAUUCUUGGUUUACCCUUCCUCUUUUCUCCACCGUUUUAACACUCUGUUUUUUUGAAAGGAAGGAUAACAUACAAACCCUUACAUCCGAACACACCCAAAACAAAUCAACAAUUUAGACCAAACAAACAUUACAGUAAUGCAAAUCAAAAAACCUAGCCAUGGUACUUGUUUAUGUCUACCAAAUCGAAAACAAUUCUCAGUGAUAUACCGAAGGGUCAUAGUCCAACGAUGCUCAACAUAAAAGCAAAAUCAUGGAAGGGGUAUAGAAUUUACAAAAUCGGCGAAUCAGAACGUCCGACUUCCGUCGAUGUCGCUCAAGUUCUUCCGGCGAGUAUUCUGACCGCAACUAAUCGUCUAAAUGAGAGCUUCAAUACAAGACUCUAAAAGAACUUGACUCAAAUCUUUUUGGUGAUGGUGAGGGUAUUAAUUUAAGCAGGGUAACGACGCUUAAUUCCUCCUCUUUUACGCCACGUCUUGGCUGUAAAUCGAGUCAAAUUUUGUAGACUUGAGGCUUAGCUCAGAUUAGUUGAGCUUCAGUGUGAAAGCUCAACAACCUUUGGAAAAUAGAGCUAUGAGUGAAGUCUGGGAUAAAUUCUGCAGAGUAACAAUAGGGUUCCUCUCCCUUUUCCAAUGAUCGAAGGCCUCUUAUAUAGAGAGGAGAUAAAAUGGUCCCUCAUUCAUCCGCUGGCAGGAGAGAAACGCGUCAGUCCGUUAGAAUAAAAUCCUCCCCCAGAUUUUGUGUGGUCCUCAUAUCAAUUUGUUGGUUAAAAGGUCUCUCCAGUUCAUUUGCUCAGGGUAUGGUGUGUUUGCUUGCGUGGGCUCUACCAUUGGCAUCUUGGUAUUUUAGCGGCUUGCCUUCCCUUGAGUAUUUGGCUAUGGAUGUUUAGUCCUUCUUUCGGCUUAUCAGAAAUCAGUGAAGCUGACUUAGAGAGAUGAACUGUGCCUCGUGUACUUUGGAGUAUAGCCGACCAUAAUGCGGUUCAUUACUCGGGAAGCACGAAAUUCUGUAGCAAUAAACAUCCACAAGUGUUUCAUCAGGUGCAGGUUUUGACUUCUAAAUAUUUUCCAUUACGAGUAUGAGACCCUGUCAAACACAAUAUCCACAACUGACUACUGUGAGCCGCAGACCACCAUUGAGUAUGUAUUUAACACUUGGUUGUCUUUGGUAGCAGGGUUGUUGUUUCAAAAAUGAUACACUUGCUUUUGAGUUGAUACGCAGAUGUUGACCUUGUCAUUACCGCAGGGCAUUGAUGGGGGUUGGUUGAUUCCUGCAGGUCUGCGUGAAUCGCUUGAUAUUCUACAUAUCUGAGGCGUGGCAGUGUGACCUUCGUGGCUCGGCAAGUCAAUACGCGAUUGAUCCAAUACCAACUAUGCUUUUUGGUUUGCUAUAAACAAUUCAAAUUAUAUUUGCACCUUCUUUGGUUAGAGUCCAGUUUGAAACUCCCUUUCAUACUCUCCAUUCAUGUUAUGGUAUAUAACAGUACUGUUUGAAAAUGUGCGAUUGGUUCCAGUCACCUUGUAAUGCCAAAGACUUGGUUUUCUUUGCAGGUUAUAUGCACGUUGGUUCGACACAAACGAGGAGAUAAUUGGUUGCACUUUUGGUCGUCUUGCUGAUAUGAAGCAGCUUGAAGUUUGGUUUUUGGACGUCAUGAACUGUUUGUUGAAUUACCUUGUUGUAAAUAAAGCUUGGCUGCUUUCUGCUAUCUUGGACGAGAGUAUCUGAUCUUGAAGCCAACAAUUUCUGGAUAUGAUCCAUGGCUGCAAAUUUAAAACCAAAUAUAUUCUUUCCAAACUUUGACUCGUUCAUAGAUAAUGUCACCGAAAGUCGUUAAAACAGGUCCAGCAGCUGGUGUUGCAAGCCACUGAAUGUAAUGUGGUCGGUUAUUCGCGGCUGCCCCUUUAGUUUAGAAGUUUAAUUCUUUCACUUGGCUUGACUGUAAUGUAAUUUAGAAACUAGGACUGCUUAUGAUCGUCUGUAUGAUGUGUUUCCAAUAAUGACACUUAAAACAAGUAUGUAUGUUACACCCAGAAUUUUGUUCAGAUAAUGUGAUUCCAAACCGAUACUCUUAA